GGACAAGGCUGGUCUGGGGCAAUGGUGCUUCCUACCACUGUCCUGGUGCAGGUGUCGUGGGUGAAAAUCUGACCAUCCAUGUCCACCGGAGGGACUCUCCUGGCUUCUGGCAUCCUCUGUUUUCAUGUGGCCUGUUUUGCAGGAGGGCAGCUGAGACCUGCAGAACCUGUAUGUGGCUUUUGCCUACACGGCAGCCUCUUUUUGAGGUUUUGGGUUAAAACUUUUUUUGUGUGCAGAGCUGGUGCCAGGCAGAACUGGGAUGAAGAUGCUACCUCAAAUGUGGGUCUGUUUAUUUAUCUCAAGUUUCUACCAUCCUGCCAAGGGGUGCCCCUCAAAACAGGCACACACACACAGCCGCUGGAUUCUCCAGGGGCCUCUGAAGUCCAGCUGUCCACUGACUUGUUGCUCUUCUUUUUCUCUGUUACGUACAUGAGGAGCACAUCGUAACUGUGCAAUAAGUGUCUAUUGGUGAUGGAGAAAGAACCCAGAAGCUUCACGCAUGCCCAUUGCCACAUGAGAUAUGUUUGGGGAGAAAGGUGAGGAUGAAGAAGAGUGAGAGAAGAUGUCUGACUUCAUUUACUGUUCUAGAAGCUACAUGACAGUAAAAGAUGGAUCCUGCCCAGGUGCUUGGGACCAGAAAAACAGUCCUUUGUAAAGCCCGGUCUUCCGCUGCUGCCCCCACCCCGAACUGCCCUGACUUUGAGAUGUCCUGUGGUCUAACAAUGGGAUCUUCUGAAAAGCCGUGUCCAUAAUUGAGCCUGAGCGCAAGGGACAAUCUGGUCCACAGAGCUGGCGGUGAGAUUCUCCCCACUCUCUGAGUCCGCUCGGGGGGGUCCAUGGCUUCCAGGCACCAUUUUCCUCUUUUGUUGUCAGGGUUCUGCUAAUGAGCAGCCUACUUAGCCCAUCUCUGCCCAGAUGUGGCCUUAAGGGCUCCCCGAGAUGGGGCCCGGCCUCAUGAAUAACUCACAGCGACCCGGGGCGCCGAGUCCGUUCCUGCGGCUGAGCAAGAACUUGGAGCUGCUGAAGGGGCAUUAAUCCUCAUUUUAUGUGGGGAAAACAGCGAGGAGAAAAGGCAUGCUUGCAAUUUAAUGUAACUAAAUGUCAUUCUGCACCCCCUGUAUCGCCGCUCAAUUGAAAGCAACGGGGAUUGGGGCUGAGGGGUAAGACGGCGGUUGCAUAACCUGAUUCAUAACCCUCAGCGCCUAUUUAUCAUAAAAUCAUUUACGGCUCCAUAAAACGUGUUAAUUUGGGUGGCGGUGAUGUAUGUCUUUGAUUUAGGAGCUGACAUUUCUGCCCAGUGGCUGCUCGGCAUGGGCUCUGUAGCCCUAAGAAGGGACAAGGAGAAGUAAUCACACGGCGGCAGCGGGGAGGCAGGCUUGUUUAUGGUGACAUGUUUGGGCUGGCUGGUCUCUCCUCGGGGAAGCCUCCAGCCAGGAGGGAGGGAAGAGGAGGUCUGGGGCAGGUCUGGGGCAUGUGGAGCCUUGUAGGGGGUGAAUUAGAGGGAACCCUAUCUGAAGGCUGGGGGCUGUCCCAGAAUUCUGCCGUUUAUUUAAUAAAUUCUUAGUGUGAUUUCCCUCAGAGGAAAUUGGCCGCUUCAUGAGGGUCUGUUACCCUGGGUGCAUUAUUUAUUGAGCACCUACUGUGUCCAGGAUUGUGUGAUGUACUGGUGUAGGAAGUCGUGUGCAAGACAGAUGAGGGUCCCGCCUGCAGAGUCCUCCCCCAGCCUUGGGCUCCGGCCUUAUGAUUCCUGGACGUCUCAAGGGCAGAUUCGAGGAGAAGGGCACAGGAGGAGUCUGCAGCCCCCGAUCCCACCCUCUUGCCAAUGCCCUUGGGUAAUCAGCCUCCUCACUCUUAAGCAGGGAAGGCACCUGGCCGACAGCCACAGGACAUGCUUAUGCAUGGACGAGUUGCCAGGAAGAAUGGACUUGGAAGUGGAAGUUUGGGCAUCCCGGGGUGGGCGGUGGUGCCAGAGCAUCACAGCAGGGCCUUCCAUCUCCCACCAGCAGGAAAUCUGUCUCCAAAAAUGAGCUCUGCUCCCCAUCCCCAGAGCAUCCUCCUGGCCCACUCCUUCCCUGGCUCUCCUUCCUGAUCACGGGCUUGUUUUUAUGAAUUUGAAAGGUAAAAAGCCAAUGCUCCAUGGAACUUCAUGUUUUCUCCACCCCCAUAGUUUAUUAAAAAAAGAAACACCCAGCAAAUCAUUUUUAUGAGCAAUUAAGUACCCUCUAGUGCAUAUAUGGUGGGCUCAGCUGACAAAUGGAUUGACGACCCAGGCUGGAGGCUGAGCUGGUCUCCGCCUGUUCUGCCCCCACCCCCACCUGAUCCCUUACUGCUCCCCUUGGCGGCGGAGGUAAGUGUUUCCAUUCGUCAGUCUCAGGAGGAACGAUGGUUUAUGUUCUGGGCAUGAGCGCUUUUAUUUGCCAUUAUUUUCUCUUCUCCAUGAGAACUGUUGGUUCAUAACUUCUGUUAUUGCAGAAUAUUAUUUACAGAUCUCAACGUAAGGGAAGCCAGCUGGGGGAAUAUUUGUUUGCACAGCUCCCCUUCCCCCAGACUCCCUCUCAAAUCUCUAAAUAAACUUUUCUAUUGAUUCUGGAGGGAAACAUCCAUCAGGCGUUGUCAUGAGAGCGAGAUGGAGAAGCCGAUUUCAUUCCUGUUUUUGGAACAUUUACUCUUCAUUUCGUUGCCCUGAGGAUGAAGCAUUCUCAUAGAUGGCCCCAAACACUUCCAGGAAAGACCCACUUGAGAGGACCAAGGAGCUUUCUCUCCAGACAGGUGACUCUAGAGCCUAAUUCUUUGCCACCCCAGUGGGUUUCCAGAUUUGUCCAGAGAUUGCGACAUUAUUCAAAUGAUGUUUAUUUGAUGGAUUCCUUUGCAAAGUGCUGUCUGCCAAGGUAAUGCAGAAAUCAUCCUUUUAAACCCAAUAUCAAAGCUGGUGUUCUGACAGCAUUUUCCCUGAUAUUUAAACGCAUUUAUACAAAGAGUCUUACAAGGGCCCAAAUUUAAGUCAUCCAUGUGAUAAAUCACCUUUGCUUAAAAGAAUAGGGAUAGGCGAUUGGGACUUAUCCCUGAAUAUCCGAGAUCUGUGGCUGCGGUAGUCCUAUAACACUCUGGUUGUAUGAAAUCAAUCACCAAUAGGGAAUUGUAGCUCCAAAGCCUGCUGACAAAUGUUUCCUUUUUAAUCUAAAAUACUCCUUUGUAGCAACCACAAUUAGUAACUGGAACCACCAAUUGCGUCCUCAAUGUGGAAAAGAGGGACUGGCACAGCGUGGAAGCUCGCAGUUCGUGAGCUCCGGCCCCAGGGUUUGUCUGUCCUUCCUCUGCCUUCUCAUCUUCACCAAGAUGGGAUGCUGUGGGUAGAUGGCCACAGUGGACAUCGUCCAGUUGGUCCUAACCAGUCAGUUCCUAUCUUGAAUUCUGUUUUGGGAAGUGAGAUGAGGACAUAGAAGGGGUCACAUCAUGUUGUGACCAACUGAACUGCUGCUGAGGAUUGCAGCGUGUCCUGGUCCACACCAAGAGAUACUCAUGGAGAGUCUUCUCUGAGUCUCAGCAUCCCCCAGGCAUCAAGCAUGGCCCCUGCCUUGCAAUCCCCAAGGACGCACUGGUCAUUCCUCAAAUGCUCAUUGAAAGGACGGAAAAUGAAUAAAUGGCUUCUUCAUCCCCAAAGUAUUAAGGUGGCUGCUCCCUUCCUGCGUUCCCUUCCUAAAGACAGAGGUGGACAAAGACUCAGUGUCCUCCGUGGGGGCUUUUAUGUGGGUCCAUGGACAUUAUUUGCAACCAGUACUUACAAACAUCAAAGUGGGUGGGUGCUGUAGUUUCAAGGUGUCCCUCAAAGUUCAUGUGUUUGAAACUCAAUUCCCAAUGCAACAGCAUUGAGAGGUGGGACCUUUAAGAGAUGAUUAGGCCAUGAGGGCUCUAGCU